rnacentral:lncRNA from 1 species
AUGGAGAAGGGAACGCCAUCCUUUGGAAAGCAUCACAAUAACACACACACACACACACACACACACAGUGCCACUGGUGUGGCUCUAAGGCCUACCACCUUCAGAAGCCAACCCAUUGCAAAUGUGGCUCCCCUGCCAAGCAGAAGAGAAAGUAUAACUGGAGUGCCAAGGCUAAGAGAUGGAACGCUACCAGUGCUGGGCAGAUGAGGUACCUAAAAAUUGUCUAUUGCAGAUUCAGAUACGGACUCCAUGAAGGAACAACACCUAAACCCAAGAGGAAAGCUGUUGCAGCACCCAGUUCAUCUUGA